AAUGAAAGUAACAUUACUUUACGUGCCAGUUCAAAUUUCCGAUUCAGAAAAAUAACUUCUUUGAUUCUUUUUGGAGCAUCACCACAUCAGAAGAUGAGACCGGAAGUGAAGUAUCUCCUACAAUGUUACAUGGAUGAGAAAGAUGCUCCUAAAGAAAGUGAUGAGAAGCCAUCCUCCGGUGGUCCUGUUCUUCAAUUCUUCCGAGCUUUCUUUGAGAUUUUUCCGAGUGCCCCAGCUGCUACCGUAUGCCAAGGUCCUAGCCUGAAAGGAUUACAUCUGGACGAGG